UACGAAGGGGGCUAGCGUUGUUCGGAAUUACUGGGCGUAAAGCGCGCGCAGGCGGUUCUCCAAGUCAGUGGUGAAAGCCCGGAGCUCAACUCCGGAAUUGCCAUUGAAACUGUUGAACUCGAGGACGAGAGAGGUGAGUGGAAUUCCCAGUGUAGAGGUGAAAUUCGUAGAUAUUGCGAAGAACACCGGUGGCGAAGGCGGCUCACUGGCUCGUUUCUGACGCUCAGGCGCGACAGCGUGGGGAUCAAACAGG
rnacentral:rRNA from 1 species